rnacentral:rRNA from 1 species
UACGGAGGGGCUAGCGUUGUUCGGAAUUACUGGGCGUAAAGCGCACGUAGGCGGCUUUGUAAGUUAGAGGUGAAAGCCCAGGGCUCAACCCUGGAAUUGCCUUUAAGACUGCAUCGCUAGAAUUGUGGAGAGGUAAGUGGAAUUCCGAGUGUAGAGGUGAAAUUCGUAGAUAUUCGGAAGAACACCAGUGGCGAAGGCGACUUACUGGACACAUAUUGACGCUGAGGUGCGAAAGCGUGGGGAGCAAACAGG